rnacentral:lncRNA from 1 species
UCCUCAGUCCGCCUCUGACUGAGCUGCGGUGCCGACCCGGGUCCUGAAAGACGCCGGCCCCCGUCUGUGCGACCUCCAGAAAAAGGGACCCCUCUCCUUUUUCAGAAGAGGAAAGUGAGGCCCAGGGGAGCCCUGGGAACUUGACCUCCCUGCGCCUCAGUUUACUCGUCUGUAAAAUGGGAGGGGUGGGGGGAUAGAUGUGACACUGGAUGGCCUCGGAGGUCUCUCCCAGCCCUAGAUCCAAGUUCCCCUGACCCCACGUCUUGCUGACUCUGAAGUCCGGCCCCCGCCCCCACCGCACCCCGGGCUGCCCAAGACUGGAUCGAAUCGCAUUGCUUUCGAGCAGCACAGGGUCCCGGGAGGGAGUACUGCAAGGCUAAACAGACUCGGAUCCGUCUGUGAUGAUACAAGUCUUGACCAGCUCGAACACUUACACUUGUUACCUGCUUGUUGAUUGGUUCAGGGCAUCCGUCUGCCUCUAAACAAGCCUCACAGCCUACAGAAUUGUGGAAGAGGAAGCAAUCCAAUUAGGACAAACCAUCAAGAAGCAUCUAUCAAGUACCUUCUAU